UACAGAGGUCCCGAGCGUUGUUCGGAUUCACUGGGCGUAAAGGGUGCGCAGGUGGCAUGGUAAGUUUGAUGUGAAAGCUCAGGGCUUAACCCUGAAAUGGCAUUGAAUACUACUGUGCUGGAGGUUUGGAGGGGGGACUGGAAUUCUUGGUGUAGCAGUGAAAUGCGUAGAUAUCAAGAGGAACACCAGUGGCGAAGGCGAGUCCCUGGACAACACCUGACACUGAGGCACGAAAGCUAGGGGAGCAAACAGG
rnacentral:rRNA from 1 species